UUAAUUUCCAGGCCCGCUCCUCAUCACGACGCGUGGCAGGGCUGUACUAAGCCCGAAGUGUGCGCUUCUUCGUUGCGGCUUAUGAAGAUGACCCACAUUCCUCUGCCGCCUCAGCAAUAAUGGAGGGCCGUGUCGAGGGCAUGGUAGCGGUGGUCAGCUGGCUUUCCGACGCGCGACUAACCUUCGAUCUUCUCAGAAGCUCGCGACAAUGCCGACCCCCGGAAAAGUCAACGGCACCGCGGCCGUGUCGUAUCCCCUCAAACGCAGUAGCAUCACAAACCGUCUCCGAGCACAAUUAUAAACGUCGGCGCCUAUCGCCAGAACCGUAUGCAAGCACCUAUC